rnacentral:misc_RNA from 1 species
AGUUAAUGAUGAUACUAGGAGAUUUAUAGUUCACAGAAAAGCACUUGGUGAUGCAGAAUUCUUGGAGCUUCUCUGUAAAUCAGCUGAAGAAUACGGUUUCUACAAUGAAGGUGUUCUGAGGAUUCCAUAUGAGGCAAAGGAUUUUGAGGAGUGGAUGAUCAGAAAGGCCAAGCUAAGGAUUACUCGCGUUAACCCAUUGUAAUUAAUCUUUGAAUUUAUAUGAUCUCUGCUUUGUUU